rnacentral:lncRNA from 1 species
GUCUCAUCCCCAUCCUGAGUGGUCUAUUCUCUAGAAUCAAGAUGACCACACUCCAGCAGGCAUUUCAAAUUGUGGCUUGGACUCACGCACAGGCCCCCUCCUGGUUCCCAGGUGUUCUAUGAUUUUCGUUGGCAUCGAUGGAAAGGUCACCUGUGCCCCCCUUCCUCCGGAACAUGCCUGGACACCAUUGUUUGUUUCGCCAUCGCCCCGUAUGCCCUCUGUGACACACAUUCACAGCAUCUGCUCUUGAAUACACCAGUGCCACGUGUGGUCACACUGGCUCUACUUUGGAUUUGCCCCUUUCCCUGUUUGCACGUGUCCUGCACUUUUACCAGAAGGUGGUAAAAGUAAGAG